AUCCAGACUCCUACGGGAGGCAGCAGUGGGGAAUAUUGCACAAUGGGGGAAACCCUGAUGCAGCGACGCCGCGUGAGUGAAGAAGUAUUUCGGUAUGUAAAGCUCUAUCGGCAGGGAAGAAAAUGACGGUACCUGAGUAAGAAGCCCCGGCUAACUACGUGCCAGCAGCCGCGGUAAUACGUAGGGGGCAAGCGUUAUCCGGAUUUACUGGGUGUAAAGGGAGCGUAGACGGCAGUGCAAGUCUGGAGUGAAAGGCGGGGGCUCAACCCCCGGACUGCUCUGGAAACUGUAAAGCUGGAGUGCGGGAGGGGCAGGCGGAAUUCCUGGUGUAGCGGUGAAAUGCGUAGAUAUCAGGAGGAACACCGGCGGCGAAGGCGGCCUGCUGGACCGUAACUGACGUUGAGGCUCGAAAGCGUGGGGAGCAAACAGGAUUAGAUACCCUGGUAAA
rnacentral:rRNA from 1 species